GAGCAAUUAUUUGCUCAAAAUGAUGUGUGCCACUCUGAUAAUCAACCCAAGAGUCAAGGGUUCAAACCCCACCAGUGCAAAACAAGUUGGUAAAAAUGAUAUUGCCCAUUGUUCACGCAAGAACCUUUCAUAAAUCUCCAGAGCAGGUUAGUGUCUGAUUCUGGUAAGCCGUUUAAGAGCUGUCGACGCUCCUUAAGUCGCAAGAUUAUGCCCAAGAUGCUCGUUUUGUGCACUUAGACGUUUUAUACUUGUUGGAAAUGAUAACUACCUGGAUGGAAAGAAUGGGGUUGGGCUCAUCACACCUGGUAAGUCCGGGAGAACGAAGCAGUCUGUCAUCGGUGUGCCGCUUGGCUUUAGGAACAGACCUCAUGCCACGAGUAAGCAGCUUUGUCAGGAGUCCACAAAGUAAAGAGGCUCAGUGGAGAGGUGCACUGGGCUUUUUCACGCUGUCUUAAUGAUGAAUGUUUCAGCCAAGGUCUACGAGGCAAAGGUUCUGCUGAGGACCCUCUCUCCUCAGUCACGGCAGGUCUCAUGGUCAAAGCGCGUCAAGGCCUUCGCUCAGGAAACUUCUCCCCUGGGAUCAUGGGCAAGGUGGGGAGUAUUCAGGUUGUUUCCCUUCUCUCGCUCAUUGCCAUAUCCUAUGUCAAUGGCAACAGCAUUCCAGAGAUCAACAUGAGUGUUGUAGAGCUACGUGAAGAUAUCCCUAUAGGUAUUUCUUUCUUUCUUUCUUUCUUUCUUUCUUUCUUUCUCAUAGUGUUACAUUUUAAACAUGUAAAAUGUACAGGUGGCUAUGCAUUUACUAUUCGGGCAACUGACCAUGAUGGAGAUAAGCUAUCAUAUGGAAUGACAGGCCCAAAUACCUUCUACUUCAAUGUUGAUAAAGACACCGGAGAGGUGAUUGUCAAGAGUCAACUCGACAGAGAGGUAGAUUCAUGUCUUCAAGUCAUUUGAGCCAUGAAAACUAAAAAGUCAUUAGUUCUACAUUGUAAAUGUCAUGUGUUGUAAACUUUCACUUGUCAGUUCUUUUGUUCUCUCUUUUUCUUGUGUUUAAGAACCAAGAGGUUAUCAAAGUUACAGUUACUGUUACUGAUCACAUUUACCCUGAUGUGAGUUCAUAAGACAAUGUUCUGCAAAAUGUAGGAUUUGGAAAUAUUUUUAUUAUAUAUUGUUCAUGUAUGUAACAUUUAAACUACUAAGACAAUUACUACUAGUUCUAUUACUACUACCACUAAUUAAAAAGUAAAUUUUUUUUUUUUUUUCAGGUUUCUGCAACUAUUUUCAUUGUAUUAAUUGAUGCAAAUGAUAAUAGACCAGAAUUCAUUGGAAUUCCUU
ensembl:lncRNA